ACAUGAUAUUGAAUUUUAGAUAAACAAAACAUCAGGAACCACAAGAAAAAGAUGCCAUGCAGUCUUUGAUCAUAUUUUCAAAUAAAUGGCCACUGAUGAUCAUUCUUAGAUUUUACUGAACUCAAAAUUCUUACUGUGCUUCCCUUCCAUUAUUAUAAAAACAUACCAUGAGUCAUCCCACUUGUAACAAACCUCAAUUAUCCUUCACUUAAUCAAGUUCUCAAUUUUAAAAUGCUACACAAUAGUCCAAACAUAACAUAAUAUGCCAUGUGUGCCACAUUUAUGUGCCGGUCAUAGUUUUCAACCGCAGACUGACCCAGCUGGUCAGACUAGGAACUGGGAACCAGCCCAGUUUGCUUAACCUUGUUUGAUGAGACAACUGCUUUAAACCUGCCAAACCAGACAGGUAACCUAUGAACUGGCAGACCCAGUCCUAGUUCAACGGGUUGGGCAAGUUUUGAGAAGGGAUAUGGCAGAUCAAAUACUCGAACCGUUGCCUUCAAAGAGAAUCAAAGGCAUCCACUUGCAAAUGUUGCAACGUGUUCUCCACUUGGCUAGCC
rnacentral:misc_RNA from 1 species